UGAAGAGAUGAGUAGAUGAUCAUUUCUGUACACUAAAAAGAAUACUUCGUGUAUUGUAUCAGAGAUCCUUGUUUAAUUCCUACGACAAGGUAACACCUCCCGAAACGAAAGCUUAUUUUUAUAAGCUAGAGUUAGAGGAGGGGAUAAGGUCUCUGCGCAAUGCUAGGCGGUGUUGUCGUAGAAGUUAGAAAUAAAAAGUACAGGUUCCAGCCCCGGCGCCGGGGAGGAAGUUACGAAUCAAAUCUACUCUAACAUCGUUAGGUUGAU
rnacentral:lncRNA from 1 species